rnacentral:rRNA from 1 species
GACGAACGCUGGCGGCGUGCUUAACACAUGCAAGUCGAACGGAAAGGCCCUGCUUUUGUGGGGUGCUCGAGUGGCGAACGGGUGAGUAACACGUGAGUAACCUGCCCUUGACUUUGGGAUAACUUCAGGAAACUGGGGCUAAUACCGGAUAGGAGCUCCUGCUGCAUGGUGGGGGUUGGAAAGUUUCGGCGGUUGGGGAUGGACUCGCGGCUUAUCAGCUGGUUGGUGGGGUAGUGGCUUACCAAGGCUUUGACGGGUAGCCGGCCUGGGAGGGUGACCGGCCACAUUGGGCCUGAGAUACGGCCCAGACUCCUACGGGAGGCAGCAGUGGGGAAUAUUGCACAAUGGGCGGAAGCCUGAUGCAGCAACGCCGCGUGCGGGAUGACGGCCUUCGGGUUGUAAACCGCUUUCGCCUGUGACGAAGCGUGAGUGACGGUAAUGGGUAAAGAAGCACCGGCUAACUACGUG